rnacentral:rRNA from 1 species
CCUCUCUUCUGAAAGAACACAAUAGACGGUACUUGAGGAAUAAGCAUCGGCUAACUCCGUGCCAGCAGCCGCGGUAAUACGGAGGAUGCAAGCGUUAUCCGGAAUGAUUGGGCGUAAAGCGUCCGCAGGUGGUUUUGUAAGUCUGCUGUUAAAGCGUUAGGCUCAACCUAAUAAGGGCAGUGGAAACUAUGAGACUAGAGUAUGUUAGGGGUAGAGGGAAUUCCCAGUGUAGCGGUGAAAUGCGUAGAGAUUGGGAAGAACACCGGUGGCGAAAGCGCNUCUGCUAGGACAAUACUGACACUGAGAGCAGACAUUCU